rnacentral:rRNA from 1 species
GCUCCAGACUCCUACGGGAGGCAGCAGUGAGGAAUAUUGGUCAAUGGGCGAGAGCCUGAACCAGCCAAGUCGCGUGAGGGAGUACUGCCCUAUGGGUUGUAAACCUCUUUUGUCGGGGAGCAAAAGCCGGACGUGUCCGGCUGUGAGAGUACCCGAAGAAAAAGCAUCGGCUAACUCCGUGCCAGCAGCCGCGGUAAUACGGAGGAUCCGAGCGUUAUCCGGAUUUAUUGGGUUUAAAGGGAGCGUAGAUGGGUUGUUAAGUCAGUUGUGAAAGUUUGCGGCUCAACCGUAAAAUUGCAAUUGAUACUGGCAGCCUUGAGUACAGUUGAGGUAGGCGGAAUUCGUGGUGUAGCGGUGAAAUGCUUAGAUAUCACGAAGAACUCCGAUUGCGAAGGCAGCCUACCGGCGCCCGACUGACGCUGAAGCACGAAAGCGUGGGUAUCGAACAGGAUUAGAUACCCCAGUA